GACAGAGGGUGCAAACGUUGCUCGGAAUUACUGGGCGUAAAGCGCGUGUAGGCGGACCAGCAAGUCAGGCGUGAAAUCCCUAGGCUCAACCUAGGAACUGCACCUGAAACUGCUGGUCUUGAGUAGUGGAGAGGAAAGCAGAAUUCCUGGUGUAGAGGUGAAAUUCGUAGAUAUCAGGAGGAACACCGGUGGCGAAGGCGGCUUUCUGGACACUUACUGACGCUGAGACGCGAAAGCGUGGGGAGCAAACAGG
rnacentral:rRNA from 1 species